GGGGCCGAUCCGGCUUCGACGUGGGUCACAAAACAGCAUAGGGCAUGUCGAGCACCAGUAAGCUCGUAAAUCCACUGGAACACUAUAAACGCCAACGACGAGCGUUUCGCUCUGGCCGCUUAAGCGGUGAGCCGCUGCACUGAUUUGUCUUUGGGUCAGGUAGGGAAACCUACAGCAGCGUCAUUUACAAAGAAUCGGAUCCGGCUGGGUCACUCAGUCUGGUCUUAAAUCCAAGUGAAUCGCCAAGGAAGGGCCUGUCGGCUGGCACGCUCCGCGGUUAAAUCCUAAAAUUGGCCGACUAAACAUGUAGAACUAGCUGCGGAGGGCUUGCGGACGCGGGUUCAAUUCCCGCCGGCUCCACCA
rnacentral:tmRNA from 1 species